GCUGGCGGCAGGCCUAACACAUGCAAGUCGAGCGAGAACGCACCUUCGGGUGUUAUUAGAGCGGCGCACGGGUGAGUAACGCGUGGGAACAUACCCUGUAGUAUGGAAUAGCCUCGGGAAACUGGGAUUAAUACCAUAUACGCCCUUAGGGGGAAAGAUUUAUCGCUAUAGGAUUGGCCCGCGUGACAUUAGCUUGUUGGUGAGGCAAUGGCUCACCAAGGCUACGAUGUCUAGCUGGUCUGAGAGGAUGAUCAGCCACACUGGAACUGAGACACGGUCCAGACUCCUACGGGAGGCAGCAGUGAGGAAUAUUGGACAAUGGGGGAAACCCUGAUCCAGCCAUGCCGCGUGUGUGAUGAAGGCCUUAGGGUUGUAAAGCACUUUCAUUGGUGAAGAUAAUGACGGUAACCAAAGAAGAAGCCCCGGCUAACUUCGUGCCAGCAGCCGCGGUAAUACGAAGGGGGCUAGCGUUGUUCGGAAUCACUGGGCGUAAAGCGCGCGUAGGCGGAUUUGUAAGUCAGAGGUGAAAUCCCGGGGCCCAACCCCGGAACUGCCUUUGAAACUACAAGUCUAGAAUCUUGGAGGGGGUAGUGGAAUUCCUAAUGUAGGGGUGAAAUCCGUAGAUAUUAGGAGGAACACCGGUGGCGAAGGCGGCUACCUGGACAAGUAUUGACGGUGAGGUGCGAAAGCGUGGGGAGCAAACAGGAUUAUACCCUGGUAGUCCACGCCGUAAACGAUGAGUGCUAGCUGUUGGUCUUUCGGGAUCAGUGGCGCAGCUAACGCAUUAAGCACUCCGCCUGGGGAGUACGGUCGCAAGAUUAAAACUCAAAGGAAUUGACGGGGACCCGCACAAGCGGUGGAGCAUGUGGUUUAAUUCGAGGCAACGCGAAGAACCUUACCAGCUCUUGUAUCCCGAUCGCGAUUAGAGGAGACUCUUUUCUUCAGCUUGGCUGGAUCGGUGACAGGUGGUACACGGCUGUCGUCAGCUCGUGUCGUGAGAUGUUGGGUUAAGUCCCGCAACGAGCGCAACCCUCAUCCUUAGUUGCUAACAUUUAGUUGAGAACUCUAAGGAAACCGCCGGUGUUAAACCGGAGGAAGGUGAGGACGACGUCAAGUCAUCAUGCCCCUUACGGGCUGGGCUACACACGUGCUACAAUGGCAGUGACAAUGGGUUAAUCCAUAAAAACUGUCUCAGUUCGGAUUGUCGGCUGCAACUCGCCGGCAUGAAGUUGGAAUCGCUAGUAAUCAUAGGUCAGCAUACUACGGUGAAUACGUUCCCGGGUCUUGUACACACCGCCCGUCACACCAUGGGAGUUGUUUCUACCCUAAGCCGGUGAGCCAAUCAGGCAGCCGUCCACGGUAGGGGCAGCGACUGGGGUGAAGUCGUAACAAGGUA
rnacentral:rRNA from 1 species